rnacentral:rRNA from 1 species
CUAGUAAGGGUGGUGGUGUGUGCCGGCGCGGCGGCGGCGGGCGAUUGGUGGCAUCCCGUCGGAGGAGAAAGGCGAACCGCCGACCCCGAGAAGCGGAGGCGCUCCCAAAGGCGCCGCGUGCCUUGUCGUCCUCGUCCGGCGCGACUCUCCACUUCCCUCUACCGACGGUACCAACCUCGCGCGUCCCGAGAGAAGCGGCGGGCGAUGAGGGGAGCGCCGUUCGAGCGCCGGCGCGAGGAGAGGGGGUGGGCAGCUCAGCCAAGAGGAGCGUCAGAAGGUCGACUUUCUCCUACGGGCGCAAGAAACCAAGGUUUAGCUCCGCGACCGUCACACCGUAGGCUUGUUUAACUACCUCUGAUAGUGGCACUAACCCCCCACGUUUUGCGUCCCUUGAUGCCUCUCAGGGCGAGUUUUGUGAGUGGACUAGUAAAGUCGGCGGGGAACGUCUCCCUGGGGGGAAGUCGAUUAAGAAGUCUUCCGUAACUAUCUUUAUUUCCACACGUACGACUACCGCCACAGUUACGUGUAAUACCUACGUUAAGACUUGUCGGAAUGGUCUCGCCUGGAAUGGUCUCCCCACCUAGCAUACCGAAUGGUCUAUCAGCGGUCGGUAUAUGACCACGUUCUUACUUAUUGCUCGGUGGACCUAUAUGACGGUCCGUUAGCAUACCCCCGUUAUCACGUAUACCGGUGGUUUUGGGGUUCCCGCUAUAUGGUUCACGAGUAGUCGUCGUCUGACAGUGUGGACGAUAAUUACCGGAAAGACGUCUACCAUUACACGCUUCUCCAGCACUGCAAUGACCUAUACUAACGCCGAGACCUAUGUUAAGGGCUUCAUUGGUCCUCUCGAUAUGAUCACCCGUCAUGCCUAUACCGGGCAGUCGUGUCAGUGUAGUUUCGAGUUGACCUUCACUGGUCGUUCAGAAAGUCGUUGUCUUCCAACUAGCUUAUAGAUUACCAUUAAUGAAGUUGUUCGGACCGUUAAGACGCAGUGUCAUAGGUUGAGGUUCGUCAAGGGUAUUCCUCGUACAACGUCCUAGAGUUGUUCCGGUGUUACCACUAAAACCUAUGUUAUGGUCCGUCGGACUAGUCCCUUCACCACGUAUGUUAGUGGGUUCAGGAUUACCUCCAGGUGGUUCAUGAGUCGUCGUCGUGUUACCGUGACCUAUACGGUGUGUGUUGAAACCAAUGUUGUGGGUUUCAUUGGUCGUCUUGAUAUUACCAUCCGUCUUACCUAUGCCAGGAAGUCCUGUCAGUAUAGUUUUGAAUUGACCUUUGCAAGUCGUCGUCUUACUAAUAGUUUCAGUACUAGGACGUUUAUCCGGACACUUAAGACGGAGUGUCAUAGGCUUAUGAUCGGUAAAGGUAUUCCUCGUACAAGGUCAUAAGGUCGUUCCGGUGUUUCCACUAAAACCUAUGUUACGAAGUGUUCGUAUAGUCUCAGUAAUAUGGUGAUUGUUUUAACUGUGCGUCUCUUUAGUAGCUCUCGUAAAGUACUUACAUUUGUGUCUACAUGUCGUGUCGGUAUUGUCUUGAAUAGGUCUUAGAGUAAGUCUAUAAGUUGGAUAAUGCAGUCGACCCUUGUUGAACUCGUCAUUCGGGAUAGUUCUAUUAUACAUAAAGGUCGUAAGUGACGGACCGUCGGACGGUUUAUUACCUAGUGGAAGACUUCAUAGACUACUUCGGUCGCCGUAUAGGUUUCCAUGAUAACUCCUUGACCUAUUCAAUACACUUCUACCCUUGUAUUUUCUUCGAAACUUUCGAGAUGGCCACGACGUUCCUUUUCCGUAACAUGACGUACGAGGAGUUAUGAAAUUUGACUACGUUCGUACGCGACUACGUACACGAGAACGUCUUCGUUCUGUUUAUGUACUAGUUUAUAGAGUUAGUCUUGAUCGACAACUGUAUCUACAAUUGUUGUUUUAAAACCUGUACAUACGAUUUACACGGAGCUACCUUCUACGUUUCUUUGAAAAGUCAUGAUACCGCGUCGUACUAAACUGUAGAACCUCGUGAUAUUAGAGUCCCAAACACGUAUUACCAGAACCACUUCUUCGUUGACUGAAAAAACUAGCAAAAUUCGUCUGCCCUCUAUUCGGUCUAAGACCGUACAAGUGUGUACAUAAAAACCGGACACCUUAAAACCCUAGUCAACUGCUCCCGUACAACGUAAAACUUAGUUACGUCUUCCUAAAACUAUAUUAAGGAAGGGACCUAGUAAUACGCUCGUAACAAUUAUACGAACCGGUCAGCCCGAUACAACUACUUCGAGCACUUAAACAACUUGCCUACGGAUACCUUGGCUCGCGGCUAUAGACCCUUUCAAACUACUUAUACACGGCUGAAUUACCUAUGAAUCUCGAACCCCUAGCAACACGAGUCUAAUAUCUUGCGGACCUAGGAAGAUCCGACUUACUCGUCAGAUUUUGCCCAGAAAAGGGACAUUUACGAAGUCUGGAACGUUUCCUCUUUCUUUCCUUUUUCCGAUUAUGACGACUUCGAUCCUCGUUUCAAGUACUUAUGUCUCGUCCCCUAGCUAGGGUAGGUCUUUGGGAAUUCUAGAUACUUCUCGACUCCAUGAACCGCCGAGUAUACUUCCUCCGACCGAUAUAACGCCUAUGAGCUAAACACGAAGUGCUGCAACUAGGUCUUUGAUUUCUCCUACGGAACGAUCGAGUGUCACUCUCUGAUCGACAAUCAAUGCCAGAAUAAUGAUCACGACAGGCAAGCGGUUAAGCCCAAUAGUUCUUAGAAGCGAGGACACCUCUAACGGUGUGUCGAAACUUCUAUUAGAGAUUCGAACAACCGGCAGUCUAGUAACGCUCCCUACGUUUCUCCAAGGUGGUAAAACUUUUACCACACACGAGAACGUUUCUAAUAACCAUUUGCAUUACGCUGUACAGAUACGACAAUAGUUUAAAUUAUCCAUCUCUAGGUUUUAAUCAACACAUUUAGGACUUCCAACAACGGAUACUUUGUAAACCAAAUUGGUGUCCAAAGUACAGUCCCUGUGCCACAUAGGAGGGAAGAUACAUUGUAGGAUAAUCACAAGAUGGGACCUUAAAUAAUCGAACUUCGUAAGAAAUAGACUACUACGAGGGAGUGUUCAGUAAUACGUAGCCUUUGAUUUCUAUAUGUGAACCAAACGUCCAUAAGACA